UGAGUAUGUCAGAUGAUCGCUGCUAUUAAUUUAGGAGAGGAAAGUCCGAGCUCCGUAGGGCAGGGUGCUGGGCAAUUCCCAGUGAGGGUGACCUUAAGGAUAGUGCAACAGAGAGAUACCGCUGAUCGUAAGAUUAGUAAGGGUGGAAAGGUGAGGUAAGAGCUCACCAGCAUACUGGUGACUUUAUGGCUAUGUAAACCCCACCUGGUGCAAGGCCGAAUAGAGGGACAUAUGGAGCUGCCCGUUCCGUCCCUGGGUGUGCCGCUUGAACCUGUAAGAAAUUACAGGUCUAGAUAGAUGAUCAUUUAAUACAGAACUCGGCUUAUAGACUUACUCAGCAC
rnacentral:RNase_P_RNA from 1 species